UCAUAGGAGCUGGACCACAUGCCCACGGUCACCUCCAUAGUACCUGCAGCGUGCUUGACUUUCUCUAUGGUGCAGUUACUGUGGCUGUGGCUGUGUUCGUGCCUCAGACUGAAAAGGACU
rnacentral:precursor_RNA from 7 species